rnacentral:lncRNA from 1 species
AUUCGGGUUUCCAGGAUCACGUGUGAGCUUAAAGGAUUGGUGCUCCUCAGAAGCUACCAACUUCCUUUCCUGUAGUACGCCAAGGUAAUUGCAGCANNNNNNNNNNNNNNNNNNNNNNNNNNNNNNNNNNNNAUAUAUAUAUAUAUAUUUUUUGUAUCCUUAAAGUUUCUUUUCACCACUAAAAGUGUACAUAUUUAUUUAUUUAUUUGAUUUGAUUGUAUAACUUAAUAUGGUUAACUGUAUAAUGCAAUUACUGAGAAACUAUUGUUUUUUGAGGGGAAGAUUGUGCAUAACCAUCUCAUGUUUCGUUUCUACACACCACCUCGGCCACAACAUCACCGCUAUACAUCUGUCUAUCUGUCACACCCCAAAACCGGAACGGCGGAAACGUUCUGGGGUGGAUGACGUCAUGUCAAGUAUCACAACACAUGCAUUAUAGUAAUCAAAGUACAACAAAACAUUGCAUUAAUAGUAAUAGUUUUACAUGGUUACAUUAAUACAUCAAAGUAAUACAAGUAAUAGAAUAAAUACAGCGCGGUACUAAGCUAUCUUCAUCAACAGCUCCGGGGAUGUACCUGUCUAAUGCUAACCUGAGAAUACAAGUUAUUUGAAAAGCGAGUAUCAGCAUUUUUACAAAUGCUGGUGAGUUCAUAAGCAUUUAGUGACAUUUCAUUCAAAUAACUUAAUAAAGUAAUAGUUUAAGAGAUUUCAGUGUAUUAGAGUCCUUUCCAGAAAAUCCUAUAUUUUCUUUAAUCAAAGCAGCCUUCUACCAAGACUGGUCAGUGUUAUGUGGUAAAAAGUGGUUUUCCCUUAAUUGCUAUCAUUAUCAAAAUACUGAAUUUGAUUAUUAAAGAAAGCAAGAGACAACAGGGAAAUAACAUAUGCCUCAGCAGUGAGGACUGCUGACUAAGGCAAAGGAAUCAUAGACUCCAGGAGAGUAUCGAACGAACGACACGCCUGGUUCCGUCUAACAAAUGGAGACACAGACCCCAGAAGGUACCAAAUGAAAGGUACAGCUGGUAAGGUCUAAAACAGUGAAUACAGACCGCAGACAGUAUCAAAUGAAAGAUACAUCUUACAAGGUCAAAACAGAGAAUACAGACCCCAGACAGUAUCAAAUGAAAGAUACGUCUUGUAAGGUCAAAACAGAGAAAACAGACCCCAAACAGUAUCAAAUGAAAGAUACGUCUUGUAAGGUCAAAACAGAGGAGACAGACCCCAGACAGUAUCAAAUGAAAGAUACGUCUUGUAAGGUCAAAACAGUGUGACUCUGAAAUUGAAUUACCAGCAUACAGUGUAAAUUGCUGGCGAAAUACCGUUACCUUAAGGCCAUGAAUUAUAAGGUAACCCGGGAUACUCGUAACCAUACUAACCGACACUAGAGUACCAGACGCCCUACAAGCGUCUAUAUAAUGUGACAUUUGUCACCCCUUGGCUUGGUGAGCCGUGGACUGUAGCUAGCAGUCAGGGUGCGGGGGUGUCAAUCCCGUAUAGAUCUAUACACACAAUGUCCGCUCUCCCUACAGGAGACUCUGGUUACCAACUAGACGACGGAGAAGGCCGUGUCCUGAAGAUGCAUCCCAAAUAGUGGGUAGAGACUUCCAACUAGUGGGUUUCUAAUGUAAGUGCUGAACUAGAGGUAGAGACUCUUAACUGAAUUGACUGAAGUAAACCCAUAUGUCUAUGCUUGUGUACAUAAUAUAUAACUAAUGAAUCAAACGACCUUCGGAUGGACAUCCGAUCCCACCAGACCACAUCUCAACGAAGAAAAGGAAAUAGGGCGGACAAGCCUUCCUAAGUCCUUCAAUCAUUAUUUAUAUGCAUCUAUACAAGCACAAACAUACAUCUAACUACGCAUGAGUGUGUAUCAAGUGGUAUCAUACAGUGAAGUAUAAGUGUACAGUGGAACAUUCGAGUCGUGAAGUAUAAGCGUACAGUGGAGUAUCCAAGUCGUGAAGUAUAAGCGUAUAGUGGAACAUCCGAGUCGUGAAGUAUAAGCGUACAGAGUGGGAUAAUCGAAUCGUGAAGUAUAAGUGUACCAAGUGUAAGUGUAUCACGAAGUGGAAACGACGAUAAGUGAAGUAAGAGCGUCUAUCAAGUAUAAGCGACUACAAGUAUAAGCGAAAUAGAGACAAUACCAAGUAUAAACGCAUCACAAAGUGAAAGCGUUAUCGAGUAGGAGUUUAAAAAUAAGUAUAAGUGAAACAGCAGUAACUAACAAGUAAAAGUAUACCUGAAAACCUUGGAAAAACCUUUAUACUCAGGAAAAUUGCGUUUGUAUUUUUUUUGGUAAAAUAAGUGUAAAAACCUUUAGAAAUCUUUGGGAAUCUUUCACAAAUUAGUUUGAAAAUGGAACUUUGAUAAAGCAAUAAAAGUAAGAACUUGAACAAGUGAAAACCCUUUUUGAAAGCCAUUUAUAGUGUCCUACUCGGUAAAACAGUGUACAGUGGUAAAAUCUUGUGCAUGCGGGUUAUCAAUCACAUGUGAUUGAUAUGAUAACUGGCAUGUUUAACUUGGAUUCCCCCCCCCCCCUAUAAAAACAUGUUAAAACAUUUAAAAGGUUCAUUCAGGGGUAUGAACUCACCUGGUGUAAGUAGGUCCGACGAAAGUGUCGUUUGGGUUUUCGGUGUCACGCAAGGACUCGAUGACACACAAUGACCUAUUUAACAUAUGAUAACAUAUGUUCACAUACAAUUAGCAUAUAUAAUACUAAUUAAACACAUAUACGCGCUCACAGGAGCGGAAAACACUUUGGCUAAGUGUUUGGGUGUCCCGGGUAGCGUUUAAGGGUGUCAAUGGCUAAGGAAUCGAGCUUACUAUCCAAGAGUACACUCCCAAUGUUGAGUUUACGGCCCAGGGACAUCUCACCAUGAGUUUACGGCCGUAAACUCAUGGUGAUGGGUUCUAGGGUGUUUAAAGGUUCUACUAGCAUCAUAGAAUUAUUCCAAGCACUUUUCCUAAAAGGCAUGAAUGGGUUUAAGGCUUCUAAGGUCACUUUAUAGGAGUUUACGGCCUAGAGACACUCCUAUGGGAGUUUACAGCCGUAAACUCUCAAUCUUUGAGUUACGUGAAGUUUUAAGCCCCUAUUACCUUUCUAGCAAUUUCUAAUGAAGUGUGAUGCUAUUUUGGGGGUUUAAAUCUAACAUUUGGAUGUGUUUUGGGGAGUUUACGGCCUAGACUCUUGCUUGGGCCGUAAACUCCUUUUUACCCCUCUAUUUCAUGUGAUUAAGUCCUUAAAUCCUUCAUAGCAUUUUAUAGAAAUAGUCUAGGGUCAUUUGGGGGGCAAAAACUACUUUUUGGGCAUGUUUUGGGGAGUUUACGGCCUUGGUAUAGACCUGGGCCAUAAACUCAUUUUUAUCCUUCAUUUUGAUGUGUUUAAGUGAUCAAAACCCAAAGGAAUAAGCCCUUAAUUUAUGUGUUAAGCCCUAGUGUGGUUUGGGAGUGUUUUGGAGGCAUUUUAACAAGGUUUUGAGGGGUUUACGGCCUAAGCUUGUGCUUGGGCCGUAAACUCUCUUUUACCCCCUAAUUCCAUGAGUUUUAAUGUUUAAACACUCCUAGGCUAAUACCUCAAUUUAUUUCCUAGCCAUUAGGGACAAGUUUGGGUCAUUUUGGCCUCAUUUUAGGUGUUUACGGCCUAAGCAGGAGCUUAGGCCGUAAACUCCUUUUCCAUUGCUUCUAAGUCCAAAUUUUGGGCUAUAAAAACCAAUCAAUAUGUUUAGAAUAAGCUAGGGUAAGCGGACUUACAAUUUGGAAGCGUUUGGUUGCGGAUUCGGGGCGAAAACGAGUCUAGAGAGAGAGUAUAGAGAGAGAGUGUAAAAAGUCUCCAAUGGGCUCCACUCACCCUUAUAUAGGGUUCCGGGUCGGGGCUCAGUGGAAUUCUACCCAAUACUGCCGUUAAACGGGGCUUUUGGUCGCACCCGAUUUACUGGUCGUAAUAAUAAAACUUAACAUUUUCCAAAUAAAUGGAAAUGUGUGUCCCGUGUUAUUAUUUCCUUUUAUCACGACUUAACGGCAUGUUAAAGGUAACCAAAUGGAAUGUUUAUUAAAUUGACGCCCUCUAAUUAACGGAACUUUUAUAAAGUGGAAUAUUCCAUUAACGGUAACGGGGAAAUGUAACGGGGAAACUUGGGUUGUCACACUAUCCGAAUUCGAUAACGGUCAGAUUUAGGGCUUCUCAAUAAGAACCCAGAUAAACACAAACUUUGUAAUUUAGUUCACAGCUAUGCCAACUUUACUCUAUUCUUCUGAUUUUUGUUUUUCGAAAACCUUGAAAUCAUUGACCAUCGCCCGACUAUUGAUUUUGGUUUUUAUUGUUUUGGUUUACACUUUUGCACGCCAGGUGUUUGCUGUUUUGCCUCCUCGGCGUGGAUAUUUUCUAGGUUGUGUGCUCUGCUUUGAUAAUAGUUGGGGGUAAAUAAGAAACAUGAUCCACUGAUCAGAUGGUAUAAAGAUUAAAUCUUUUGUUUUUAUUUUUUCUUUAUUAGACUCUAUGUUCACAACUAAUAACAAAUUAAUCUAAAAUGCACAGUGCAAUAGAAUGCAAGAAAUCCAGAGAACAACGCUGCAAUGAGCAAGCCAUAAAAAUAUUCAUUAGCAGAGGGUAAGUAACUGUAACAAAAACAUUUUCUAGUGUAUACUUAGAUCCUACAUGCGGUUAAAAUCAUAAUUUCCGGUGCAGAUUUCAAGAAAAGGAGGCAUUUAUGGAUCAUAUUUGGGAAUUCCAAGUUUCAAUGGUGUUUUCAAUGUUGAUGUACGGGGGAAAUUGUGUAAUUUGGGAACGAAUAUCAGGAUGAUUGAAGGAAUAUGUGACUGCAAUUUAGGGACUAAUUAUGUUGUAGUAUUUGGUUUACUUCCUCGGAUUCACUCAUUUCUCUUUACUAACCUCAUAUCAGUUAAGUUGUUGCAUUCUU